GGGGCGGGCGCGGGGGCAGAGCGAAAGGCUUGAGGACCAGGUCGGGGCCGGGUUCCGAGUCGGGGAGCGGCUCCGGGCGGCAGCUAUGAGGCGGGACGUGCGCAUCCUGUUACUGGGCGAGGCCCAGGUGGGGAAGACGUCGCUGAUCCUGUCCCUGGUGGGCGAGGAGUUCCCCGAGGAGGUAAGGGGCACGCCCGCCGCGGGGGUGGGAGCGGGCCCAGCCGGGGGUCCCUGGUGAGCGCGCGGGUC
rnacentral:lncRNA from 1 species